rnacentral:rRNA from 1 species
UACGUAGGGUGCGAGCGUUAAUCGGAAUUACUGGGCGUAAAGCGUGCGCAGGCGGUUGGUUAAGUCUGAUGUGAAAGCCCCCGAGCUCAACUUGGGAAUGGCAUUGGAAACUGGCUGGCUAGAGUGUGGCAGAGGGGGGGUGGAAUUCCGCGUGUAGCAGUGAAAUGCGUAGAGAUCGGCAGGAACACCCAGGGGGGAAACCAGCCGACUGGGCAUCGACUGACGCUGAGGUGCGAGAGCGUGGGGAGCAAACCGG